AUGAACGCUAGCUACAGGCUUAACACAUGCAAGUCGAGGGGCAGCAUGGUCUUAGCUUGCUAAGGCCGAUGGCGACCGGCGCACGGGUGAGUAACACGUAUCCAACCUGCCGUCUACUCUUGGACAGCCUUCUGAAAGGAAGAUUAAUACAAGAUGGCAUCAUGAGUCCACAUGUUCACAUGAUUAAAGGUAUUCCGGUAGACGAUGGGGAUGCGUUCCAUUAGAUAGUAGGCGGGGUAACGGCCCACCUAGUCUUCGAUGGAUAGGGGUUCUGAGAGGAAGGUCCCCCACAUUGGAACUGAGACACGGUCCAAACUCCUACGGGAGGCAGCAGUGAGGAAUAUUGGUCAAUGGGCGAGAGCCUGAACCAGCCAAGUAGCGUGAAGGAUGACUGCCCUAUGGGUUGUAAACUUCUUUUAUAAAGGAAUAAAGUCGGGUAUGCAUACCCGUUUGCAUGUACUUUAUGAAUAAGGAUCGGCUAACUCCGUGCCAGCAGCCGCGGUAAUACGGAGGAUCCGAGCGUUAUCCGGAUUUAUUGGGUUUAAAGGGAGCGUAGAUGGAUGUUUAAGUCAGUUGUGAAAGUUUGCGGCUCAACCGUAAAAUUGCAGUUGAUACUGGAUAUCUUGAGUGCAGUUGAGGCAGGCGGAAUUCGUGGUGUAGCGGUGAAAUGCUUAGAUAUCACGAAGAACUCCGAUUGCGAAGGCAGCCUGCUAAGCUGCAACUGACAUUGAGGCUCGAAAGUGUGGGUAUCAAACAGGAUUAGAUACCCUAGUAGUCCACACGGUAAACGAUGAAUACUCGCUGUUUGCGAUAUACAGCAAGCGGCCAAGCGAAAGCGUUAAGUAUUCCACCUGGGGAGUACGCCGGCAACGGUGAAACUCAAAGGAAUUGACGGGGGCCCGCACAAGCGGAGGAACAUGUGGUUUAAUUCGAUGAUACGCGAGGAACCUUACCCGGGCUUAAAUUGCAGAUGAAUUACGGUGAAAGCCGUAAGCCGCAAGGCAUCUGUGAAGGUGCUGCAUGGUUGUCGUCAGCUCGUGCCGUGAGGUGUCGGCUUAAGUGCCAUAACGAGCGCAACCCUUGUUGUCAGUUACUAACAGGUUCUGCUGAGGACUCUGACAAGACUGCCAUCGUAAGAUGUGAGGAAGGUGGGGAUGACGUCAAAUCAGCACGGCCCUUACGUCCGGGGCUACACACGUGUUACAAUGGGGGGUACAGAGGGCCGCUACCACGCGAGUGGAUGCCAAUCCCAAAAACCUCUCUCAGUUCGGACUGGAGUCUGCAACCCGACUCCACGAAGCUGGAUUCGCUAGUAAUCGCGCAUCAGCCACGGCGCGGUGAAUACGUUCCCGGGCCUUGUACACACCGCCCGUCAAGCCAUGGGAGCCGGGGGUACCUGAAGUGCGUAACCGCGAGGAGCGCCCUAGGGUAAAACUGGUGACUGGGGCU
rnacentral:rRNA from 1 species